UACUACUUUACAGGGAAUGCUCAGC
rnacentral:miRNA from 1 species